rnacentral:pre_miRNA from 1 species
UAUAAGAGAUUUUGAGUUUCUGCUUGCAUUGUUUGACCACUCGUCUUAUUCAAAAAAUUUUGAAAUUAUUAUUUAUUUUUUUUGACUUACUUUAUUAUCCAUAGUAUUUUAAGCACAACUUUUCGUUUUUUAUAUUUGCACAAAUUUUUUGAAUAAGACGAGUGGUCAAACAAUACAAACAAAAACUCAAAAUCCCUUAUA